rnacentral:lncRNA from 1 species
ACACUCGCAUAUAUCGUGCCACUGUCAGUGGUCGGCAAGCUGAGGAACAGCAACCAGAGGAGUAUUCAAGUCUCAGAGAACACAAGGGUUCAACAGGUCCACACAGGUGGAAUUCAAGUACUUUAGUGUCCGGAAUGUCUUCAGGAACAGUGAUUUCGCCAGACGCAGCCAAGAUCCUUAUCAGGUCAUGGAGGAGGGGAACUGGAACUUCUGUGCCAUAUAGAAGUGGUGAAAGACAAUGAUUUCUAUCAUCCAUCUCUGAGAGGUGCUACAUUUCUUACCAUCCUUAGUUGAUCAAGGUCUUGAGCACACAGUUGAACUGUCCAGUCCUUACAAAUAACAGUAUCAGAAUGGGAGUUGGAAUCCAGCACAGUGAACUCUCGAUGACUAUCACAUCCGGUAUCACUUGGAUUCUUCAGUUUCUUCCCCGAAAUCAUUCCAGUCCUGGGUCCAGAUGUUGAAGGAAGCUCCUUGGGAGGGGAUGGACUGUGCUCAAGGAACUGACUUUUUGGUAGCUGGAAACAUGGCGUAGCACAGGUCUGCAUCCCAAAUUCAUCACUGUUACAUGGUCAAGCCAGAUGUUUUCAAAACAAGUUCUUACACCAAAUUAUACAUGCAGUGCCUCUAGACAGGCGGCAGAUAGAUGGGAGACAGAGCAAUGAUUAUUGAAGCCAAGGACAAGCCGAAAGCUUGCAAGUGAACUCAGAAUGUUCCCCUCAACUGGACACAUCGAUUUGUAAAGCCCUCCUUGAGCUGCCUGGUUGGUGGUCAACAUGUUUUUUUUCCAAGGAAGAUUGACAAAGUUGAGUGCUGGGUGUGUGGGUGGAGCAAAGCUGGCCAAGAAGAGGAACUUAACUGGAUGACUUUAUAGUCUUCACUGACCCUAUCUAGGGUUUUCGUUUGAACUUUGGAUUUGUAUUACCUUGGACCUUGGAUGUCCUCAUGUAGAUCGUCAUUACCAUCUGAUUAAAUGUUUUUCCUUUA